AUAUACACACACAUAUUUUGUAAGUACUGAUAUAGUUUCAUGGAUACAAUGUCCUCUUGAAACAUGUUGAAAACUAAAAAUAUUUUUUUUUUAAUUUUUUUUUCAACGUUUAUUUAUUUUUGGGACAGAGAGAGACAGAGCAUGAAUGGGGGAGGGGCAGAGAGAGAGGGAGACACAGAAUCGGAAACAGGCUCCAGGCUCUGAGCCAUCAUCAGCCCAGAGCCUGAUGCGGGGCUCGAACUCACGGACCGCGAGAUCGUGACCUGGCUGAAGUCGGACGCUUAACCGACUGCGCCACCCAGGCGCCCCGAAAACUAAAAAUAUUUAAAAAAUAUAUUGUCUAUACUAAUUUAGGGGUUCCUUGAAUUUUUUAGCCAGGAAAUCAUUAGUUGUGAGUCUCCAGAGUGAUCUCUUAUUUGAACUGCAUCAUAUACUCAUGAUUUUUUUUAUUUUUUGAAUUUCUUUAUUUACCCUUACAGAACGAAGUCUACAUUUGUCCAGACUGGCAGAUGAAGUGAGUUCGACACCACAGUUUUAGAACUUGUGCAGAGAAUAAGCACACAUCUUAUGAAAACAUUCAACUGGGUUUUGGGUAUUGCAGAAUAUCAAGAGGAUCUAGAAAGUCUAGUCAUCUUCUUUAUUUGGCUCAGCAGUGUGUUUCGUAUUUUGAAAAAAACUCCAUGUGACUUUCAUAAUGCAAGUAUUGUCAUGGCACCUCUUUCCACUAAAGAAGACUAUAAAUAUGCCUGA
rnacentral:lncRNA from 1 species